rnacentral:rRNA from 1 species
CGAGUGGCGGACGGGUGAGUAAUGUCUGGGAAACUGCCUGAUGGAGGGGGAUAACUACUGGAAACGGUAGCUAAUACCGCAUAACGUCGCAAGACCAAAGAGGGGGACCUUCGGGCCUCUUGCCAUCGGAUGUGCCCAGAUGGGAUUAGCUAGUAGGUGGGGUAACGGCUCACCUAGGCGACGAUCCCUAGCUGGUCUGAGAGGAUGACCAGCCACACUGGAACUGAGACACGGUCCAGACUCCUACGGGAGGCAGCAGUGGGGAAUAUUGCACAAUGGGCGCAAGCCUGAUGCAGCCAUGCCGCGUGUAUGAAGAAGGCCUUCGGGUUGUAAAGUACUUUCAGCGGGGAGGAAGGGAGUAAAGUUAAUACCUUUGCUCAUUGACGUUACCCGCAGAAGAAGCACCGGCUAACUCCGUGCCAGCAGCCGCGGUAAUACGGAGGGUGCAAGCGUUAAUCGGAAUUACUGGGCGUAAAGCGCACGCAG